rnacentral:lncRNA from 1 species
CCAGCAAAGGAGGCAGGACCGCAUUUACAUAUCAUGCCUCAACACCAUCUUUGAACAUGGAUCUCAAACUGGGAAUUAGAAAUGCCGGGUUCUCUCUCUAAUUGUUCUGCCACCUGGUAUGACGAUGCGUUGACACGGACUCACCAGGGAUGCUGAGCGCCUCCACUGAGCACUUGUAAAACACACUGUUGAAGACCCAGUUUGAAAACCAGCCCCACCGCCUGCCAGCAGCAUGACCUUGAAUGCUGCCAUCCUACAGUGAAACUAACAUGGUUGCAGCAAGACCCCUGCAAAUUGCUCCAGCUCUAAGUGUCCAAAAGUUACCAUGGACCCAUUAUGUAGUGAUACGUUCCCUGAGCUCAUUAUAUAAUGGCAUGUUGCAUUGAACCUGUCAUGUAAUGGUACCUUGACCUUGUUAUGUAAUGGCAGGUUACACUGAACUCAUUACGUAAUGGUAUCUUGACUUUGUUAUGUAAUUGCAUGUUACAUUGAACUCAUUAUGUAAUGACCUGCACAUGUGUCCUGACUGGGCCC